AAAAGGGGUGUGCUGGGAGGGUUAUGGUUUGGCAGGAGGAAUGAGAUAGGAAGGAAGCUGUGUCCAGUAGUAGAGAUGAAGUCUGAACGUUCUACUUGCUGGUGCUUGCCCAAUAUUUCUUCAUAUUGACUGGAUUGUGUCUCGCAAAUGCUGCUAAUCCAAUGAACACUGAGACACCAUCAAAUAGUUUGGGUUCUAUAAGGCUAAGAGAUAACUUUAUUGCUGUGUUUCAUACCAAACCUGAAGAAAACAUUCACUGAUUGCUGAAAGAUGAUAUUCACGGAGUUUUUUAAAACCACAAUAGAGGUAGGAUUAUUUACAUAUUUAAAUUAUGUGUUUUUUUAGUGGCAAAGUGGUGUACCUAAGGAGAAAAAUCCAGUUCUGAUGCCAGGGAAGAGAGGGAUCACAAAGGUUGCCAUUUCCG
rnacentral:lncRNA from 1 species